CGCGCACACACCGCCCGUCACUCUCCCCAAGUCACCACUACACCAUAAAUAAUAUGCUACGCCGACAAAGGGGAGGCAAGUCGUAACAUGGUAAGUGUACCGGAAGGUGCACUUGGAUAAAUU
rnacentral:rRNA from 1 species